rnacentral:rRNA from 1 species
GUCUACGGCCAUACCACCCUGAACGCGCCCGAUCUCGUCUGAUCUCGGAAGCUAAGCGGGGUCGGGCCUGGUUAGUACUUGGAUGGGAUUCCGCCUGGGAAUACCGGGUGCUGUAGGCU